GCUGAAUUUAAGCAUAUAAGUAAGCGGAGGACAAGAAACUAAAUAGGAUUCCCUCAGUAAUGGCGAAUGAACAGGGAUAAGCUCAGCAUGGAAAUUGGGGCCCUCGGCCUUGAAUUGUAGUCUUGAGAUGGCAUUGCCAGUGGAGGCGCAGAUGUAAGCCUCUUGGAAAAGAGCAUCAAUGAGGGUGAGAGUCCCGUCUGUCAUCUGCAGUCCCCCAUGCACGGUGUGCUUUCUAAGAGUCACGUUCCUUGGGAUUGGAGCGCAAAUUGGGUGGUAAAUUUCAUCUAAAGCUAAAUAUUGGUUCGAGACCGAUAGCAAACAAGUACCAUGAGGGAAAGGUGAAAAGGACUUUGAAAAGAGAGUUAAAAGUGCCUGAAAUUGCUGAAAGGGAAGCGAAUGGAACCAGUCUUCUUGGCGAGAUUGUUGCGCGCUACUGUGAUUGCUCGCUGCUUCAACGCAAGUGUUGCAGUGGGUUUUGAGCAUGACGUGCGCUUUGUUUCUUGCCUCGUGUGUCAACGUCGGUUCGGACUUGAGGAAAACUCCAGGGACAUGGUUAAUCGCUCGCGGGUGAUUGAACGUGCCUGGCAGAACUCAUUUCUUAACUGAUUUCUGCAUGUCUGGUCGCAGUGCUCUCAUUGCCUGUGCUCGUCGCUUCGGGUGGGGCCUCGGCCUCUCGUCGUCGCUUCGUGCCUGGUCGUGGGGCAUCUCCCUGACAUAAGUACGAUGACAAAAUGGUUUUAUUCGACCCGUCUUGAAACACGGACCAAGGAGUCUAACAUAUGUGCAAGUUCACGGGUGUUAAACCUGAUUGCGCAAUGAAAGUGACUGCUGGGAUAUUUGCACCAGCAACCGACCAAUCAAUUGUGAGAGGUUUGAGUAUGAGCAUAUCUGUUAGGACCCGAAAGAUGGUGAACUAUGCCUGAGAAGGGUGAAGUCAGGGGAAACUCUGAUGGAGGCUCGUAGCGAUACUGACGUGCAAAUCGUUCGUCAUA
rnacentral:rRNA from 1 species